UACGAAGGGGGCUAGCGUUGUUCGGAAUCACUGGGCGUAAAGGGCGCGUAGGCGGCUUUAUAAGUCGGGGGUGAAAGCCUGUGGCUCAACCACAGAAUUGCCUUCGAUACUGUAGAGCUUGAGACCGGAAGAGGUAAGUGGAACUGCGAGUGUAGAGGUGAAAUUCGUAGAUAUUCGCAAGAACACCGAUGGCGAAGGCAGCCAUCUGGACCGACACUGACGCUGAGGCGCGAAAGCGUGGGGAGCAAACAGG
rnacentral:rRNA from 1 species